rnacentral:rRNA from 1 species
CCUACGGGCGGCAGCAGUGGGGGAUAUUGCACAAUGGGGGAAACCCUGAUGCAGCGACGCCGCGUGAGGGAAGAAGUAUUUCGGUAUGUAAAGCUCUAUCAGCAGGGAAGAAAAUGACAGUACCUGACCAAGAAGCACCGGAUAACUACGGGACAGCAGCCGCGGUAAUACGAAGGGGGCAAGCGUUAUCCGGAUUUACUGGGUGUAAAGGGAGCGUAGACGGUUAAGUAAGUCUGGAGUGAAAGCCCGGGGCCCAACCCGGGGACUGCGUUGGAAACUGUGUAACUGGAGUACAGGAGGGGCAGGCGGAAUUCCCGGUGUAGCGGUGAAAUGCGUAGAUAUCAGGAGGAACACCGGCGGCGAAGGCGGCCUGCUGGACUGACACUGACGUUGAGGCUCGAAAGCGUGGGGAGCGAACAGGAUUAGAUACCCUUGUAGUC